rnacentral:tRNA from 1 species
GCCCUGCUAGCUCAAUGGUAGAGCAGCGGCCUCUUAAGCCGUUGGUUGUAGGUUCGAGUCCUACGCGGGGCA